rnacentral:rRNA from 1 species
AUACGAAGGGGGCUAGCGUUGUUCGGAAUUACUGGGCGUAAAGCGCAUGUAGGCGGACAUUUAAGUCAGGGGUGAAAUCCCGGGGCUCAACCUCGGAACUGGGCCUUUGAUACUGGGUGUCUAGAGUGUGGAAGAGGUAAGUGGAAUUCCGAGUGUAGAGGUGAAAUUCGUAGAUAUUCGGAGGAACACCAGUGGCGAAGGCGGCUUACUGGUCCAUUACUGACGCUGAGGUGCGAGAGCGUGGGGAGC